rnacentral:rRNA from 1 species
UACGAGGGGGGCGAGCGUUGUUCGGAAUUAUUGGGCGUAAAGGGUGCGUAGGCGGGUCUUUAAGUCAGGGGUGAAAUCCUGGAGCUCAACUCCAGAACUGCCUUUGAUACUGAAGAUCUUGAGUUCGGGAGAGGUGAGUGGAAACUGCGAGUGUAGAGGUGAAAUUCGUAGAUAUUCGCAAGAACACCAGUGGCGAAGGCGGCUCACUGGCCCGAUACUGACGCUGAGGCACGAAAGCGUGGGAGCAAACAGGG